UGGCGGACGGGUGAGUAACGCGUGGUAACCUGCCUUAUACAGGGGGAUAACAGUCAGAAAUGACUGCUAAUACCGCAUAAGACCACAGCACCGCAUGGUGCAGGGGUAAAAACUCCGGUGGUACAGGAUGGACCCGCGUCUGAUUAGCUGGUUGGUGAGGUAACGGCUCACCAAGGCGACGAUCAGUAGCCGGCUUGAGAGAGUGAACGGCCACAUUGGGACUGAGACACGGCCCAAACUCCUACGGGAGGCAGCAUG
rnacentral:rRNA from 1 species